AUACUCUCCUGGCCUCAGAGUUGUAAGGAUGGAAACAAACACUUCUGUUUCUGAACCAGAGUGGGUUCUCAGAGUCUUGGCUUUCUUUCUGCAGCCUGUCUGCCUCCUAAGCAGCUGAGAUUGUUUCCCCACUACAGAUGAGUGAUAAGCUGACUGCACCCUCACGGAUAAUUCUAUCAACUCCUGGGACCAUCGCAUAGAGGGUGCUUGAGACAUGCUGCACUGGACGAUGCACACACCCCAUCUCUCCAACAUGACUAGGCCACCAGGAUGCAUCACAGUCCUGACCCCAAUGCAGGAGACUGAAAGUCACCAAGGACUGAGACAUGCUGUCGAGCCACAAUCAGAAGAGAAACUGGAGUUGAAGAAGAGCCAGGUCUGGCCACACAGAGAAGUGAAAACCUCCAUUUAAUGGUCAGAGGCAAAGUACAAAGUUAGGCAUCAGAGAAGUGUUCCGUUUUGGUCACUAUUAUUUCUUAAGAAUCUUUCUGAACACUCCAGAACUAAAGGACUAGAAGUCCAGGGCCCUUGCUCUCAGUGUCUGAUUAGCUGCUGUCAUCUGCCUCGAAAGCUGCCCCAUGGUUUUUUCCAUCCUUGCUAGCAGCACAAACCAACUGGUUUAGCCUAACAUUGAUAAAACUACAGAAUCUCAGAUUUGGAAGGAUGCUUUUAAAGCAAAUAGCCAAGCUCCUAGCUAAUUUUCUAAUUUUGUUGCUACAAGAAUAAAGAAUUUAAUGUGGGUGUGGA